rnacentral:misc_RNA from 1 species
GAUGAAGAACGCAGCGAAAUGCGAUAAGUAGUGUGAAUUGCAGAAUUCAGUGAAUCAUCGAAUCUUUGAACGCACAUUGCGCCCUUUGGUAUUCCAAAGGGCAUGCCUGUUCGAGCGUCAUUUGUACCCUCAAGCUUUGCUUGGUGUUGGGCGUCUUGUCUCUAGCUUUGCUGGAGACUCGCCUUAAAGUAAUUGGCAGCCGGCCUACUGGUUUCGGAGCGCAGCACAAGUCGCACUCUCUAUCAGCAAAGGUCUAGCAUCCAUUAAGCCUUUUUUUCAACUUUUGACCUCGGAUCAGGUAGGGAUACCCGCUGAACUUAAGCAUAUCAAUAAGCGGAGGGA